UCUGCUCCACCGAAGAGCAGGAAAUUCGCUUCAUUUCCAUUACCUCUAAGAGCUCGUGGGGGCCACUCUGCUGUAGCCAUUGGAAGCACACUCAUGCUGCGGGGGCUUUACCCAUGCCGCUCCAGAAAACACAGCCCCUCACUGCCCAGGUGAGAGCUGCUGCCUGAAUACACACCUCCGCACUGGUCCAUCUGGAAGCCACUCACUGAAUUUCGUCGUAUGCAUGGCAUCAUCUCGUCUCAUCCAUGCCUGAAGUCAGUACUCUAACCCAGGACUCCACCACCAGGGCUAUUUGAUAAGCACCUCUCAUCUUCCAU
rnacentral:lncRNA from 1 species